GACGAACGCUGGCGGCGUGCCUAAUACAUGCAAGUAGAACGCACAGUUUAUACCGUAGCUUGCUACACCAUAGACUGUGAGUUGCGAACGGGUGAGUAACGCGUAGGUAACCUGCCUGGUAGCGGGGGAUAACUAUUGGAAACGAUAGCUAAUACCGCAUAAUAUUGAUUAUUGCAUGAUAAUUGAUUGAAAGCUGCUAUUGCAUCACUACCAGCUGGACCUGCGUUGUAUUAGCUAGUAGGUGAGGUAACGGCUCACCUAGGCGACGAUACAUAGCCGACCUGAGAGGGUGAUCGGCCACACUGGGACUGGGAUACGGCCCAGACUCCUACGGGAGGCAGCAGGAGGGAAUCUUCGGCAAUGGACGAAAGGCUGACCGAGCAACGCCGGGUGAGGGAAGAAGGGUUUCGGAUCGGAAAGCUCUGUUGUAAGAGAAGAACGGGUGUGAGAGUGGAAAGUUCACACUGUGACGGUAUCUUACCAGAAAGGGACGGCUAACUACGUG
rnacentral:rRNA from 1 species